rnacentral:rRNA from 1 species
UGAGUAACCUGCCCUCCACUUCGGGAUAACUCCGGGAAACCGGAGCUAAUACCGGAUACGAGACCGAUUGGCAUCUUUACGGUCUGGAAAGUUUUUCGGCCAGGGAUGGGCUCGCGGCCUAUCAGCUUGUUGGUGGGGUAACGGCCCACCAAGGCGACGACGGGUAGCCGGCCUGAGAGGGCGACCGGCCACACUGGGACUGAGACACGGCCCAGACUCCUACGGGAGGCA